AGAAAUGAAGGAAGCACUAUCAAGACAGCAUAUGCAGCAAGAUUAACUCCCCAGACUUGAGCAUGUAAAGCAAUGGGUUGCUACAAUCACAGGCUUUAUUCAGAAAAGCGCAAUGGGUACUAACAAAAUAGCGAAUUCAGAUUGUGGAUAUGAAUAUAGAAGUAAAGAACUAAGAAGAAAAAGAGAGGAGGAAACAAGCACGAGCAACUAACCAAAUGUAGGCAGAGACCCAUGUUUUCUUCUUCUUCUUCCUCCUCCACAUAGUUAUUAAAGGCGAAUCCAGUGUUAUCAAAGGCAAGCGAGGCGCCCAGGCGAGGUGAGGCGCCUCUCUGUCGCCUCGAC
rnacentral:misc_RNA from 1 species